UCUUGCAACCUUAAUAAUUGCUCUUACUUCACCGUAAGAGAGGAAAGUCCGAGCACUCACUCUGAAAAGAGUAGCAAGGUAGCGGGUAACGCCCGUCCACGGCAACGUGAGAGGUGCGAGCAGAGACGCUCCGAUUCAAAAGAAUCGCGAGAAGCAAACCCUAAUUUCUUGAAUUAUCAGGAAUGAGCUUAGCUCCAGUCGAGGGUUGAAAACUGGAGGUGAAACGGCUAAAUCCUUACUCGGGUGCAAGGUCAGCGCUGUGUCCGCCUUUGGCGGAUGCUUCGAAAAGUUAGACCGCUUGAGAUGUAUGGCAACAUACAUCCUAGAUAAAUAAUUAUUUCGUCCGCCUUAGGCGGAUAGACAGAACUCGGCUUAUUGGUUGCAAGAUCAA
rnacentral:RNase_P_RNA from 1 species